rnacentral:lncRNA from 1 species
GUUCUUUUAUAUGUCUUUGUAAAUUUUUAACCUUUUCUGUUUAGUCCCUGUUUGGUAAUUUCCUUUUGGCGUGGCUCGGUAUUUAUGCAUCACGUCAAUGUGUUGUUGUGCUGUGGUAAUUUCUUGAAUUAUUGUCUUUCAUUUUUGCUUAUGUGUUUUGUCUAUAUACCAUUUUCUUUUUCUUUGUUGACAUAUUAGUUUGUUUUAUAGUGAUUAAGAUUAUAACACAAUGUUGACUGCUGUACCCCUAUUUUUGACAUUUU